rnacentral:rRNA from 1 species
UACGAAGGGGGCGAGCGUUGUUCGGAAUUACUGGGCGUAAAGGGCGCGCGGGCGGCCUUAGAAGUCAGAUGUGAAAGCCCCGGGCUCAACCUGGGAAUGGCAUUUGAUACUCUGAGGCUGGAGUACGGGAGAGGAGAGUGGAAUUCCCAGUGUAGAGGUGAAAUUCGUAGAUAUUGGGAAGAACACCGGUGGCGAAGGCGGCUCUCUGGACCGUAACUGACGCUGAGGCGCGAAAGCGUGGGGAGCAAACAGG